rnacentral:rRNA from 1 species
GGUGAACGCCGGCGGCGCGCCUAACACAUGCAAGUCGAACGAGAGAGGAAGAGCUUGCUUUUCCGAUCGAGUGGCGAAAGGGUGAGUAACGCGUGAGGAACCUGCCUCAAAGAGGGGACAACAGUUGGAAACGACUGCUAAUACCGCAUAAGCCCACGGCUCGGCAUCGAGCGGAGGGAAAAGGAGCAAUCCGCUUUGAGAUGGCCUCGCGUCCGAUUAGCUAGUUGGUGAGGUAACGGCCCACCAAGGCGACGAUCGGUAGCCGGACUGAGAGGUUGAACGGCCACAUUGGGACUGAGACACGGCCCAGACUCCUACGGGAGGCAGCAGUGGGGAAUAUUGCACAAUGGGGGAAACCCUGAUGCAGCGACGCCGCGUGGAGGAAGAAGGCCUUAGGGUUGUAAAGUUCUUUUAGUGGGGAAGAUAAUGACGGUACCCACAGAAAAAGCCCCGGCUAACUCCGUGCCAGCCGCCGCAGUAA